rnacentral:siRNA from 1 species
GAAGGAUCUAGAACACUCUCGAC